GCAAGUCGAGGGGCAGCAUAAAUUACUUGUAAUUUGAUGGCGACCGGCGAACGGGUGCGUAACGCGUAUGCAACCUACCUUUUACUAGAGAAUAGCCAAGAGAAAUUUUGAUUAAUGCUCUAUACACUUUAAGACUCACAUGAGUCUAAAAGAAAAGCUCCGGCGGUAAAAGAUGGGCAUGCGUUCUAUUAGCUUGUAGGUGAGGUAACGGCUCACCUAAGCUUCGAUAGAUAGGGGUCCUGAGAGGGAGACCCCCCACACUGGUACUGAGACACGGACCAGACUUCUACGGAAGGCAGCAGUAAGGAAUAUUGGACAAUGGAGGCAACUCUGAUCCAGCCAUGCCGCGUGAAGGAAGAAGGCCCUAUGGGUCGUAAACUUCUUUUAUACAGGAAGAAAUCUUUCCACGUGUGGAAAGUUGACGGUACUGUAAGAAUAAGGAUCGGCUAACUCCGUGCCAGCAGCCGCGGUAAUACGGAGGAUCCAAGCGUUAUCCGGAAUUAUUGGGUUUAAAGGGUCCGCAGGCUGUUUGUUAAGUUAGAGGUGAAAUCCUACCGCUCAACGGUAGAACUGCCUUUAAAACUGGCAAACUUGAGUUAUUGUGAAGUAAUUAGAAUGUGUAGUGUAGCGGUGAAACGCAUAGAUAUUACACAGAAUACCGAUUGCGGAAGCAGAUUACUAACAAUUAACUGACGCUGAGGGACGAAAGCGUGGGUAGCGAACAGGAUUAGAUACCCUGGUAGUCCACGCCGUAAACGAUGGUCACUAGCUGUUUGAUGUACAUUGGUACAUUGAGUG
rnacentral:rRNA from 1 species